rnacentral:rRNA from 1 species
CCUACGGGAGGCAGCAGUGGGGAAUAUUGCACAAUGGGCGCAAGCCUGAUGCAGCAACGCCGCGUGAGGGACGACGGCCUUCGGGUUGUAAACCUCUUUUAGUAGGGAAGAAGCGAAAGUGACGGUACCUGCAGAAAAAGCACCGGCUAACUACGUGCCAGCAGCCGCGGUAAUACGUAGGGUGCAAGCGUUAUCCGGAAUUAUUGGGCGUAAAGAGCUCGUAGGCGGUUUGUCGCGUCUGCUGUGAAAACUGGAGGCUCAACCUCCAGCCUGCAGUGGGUACGGGCAAACUAGAGUGCGGUAGGGGAGAUUGGAAUUCCUGGUGUAGCGGUGGAAUGCGCAGAUAUCAGGAGGAACACCGAUGGCGAAGGCAGAUCUCUGGGCCGUAACUGACGCUGAGGAGCGAAAGCAUGGGGAGCGAACAGGAUUAGAUACCCUGGUAGUCCAUGCCGUAAACGUUGGGCGCUAGAUGUGGGGACCAUUCCACGGUUUCCGUGUCGCAGCUAACGCAUUAAGCGCCCCGCCUGGGGGAGGUACGGCCGCGACGACGUAAACUACAANAGAAGUAGACGGCGUGAGACGUGCCGACGGACGACGACGAGGGAGGUAGG